UGGAAGGGCCAGGCUUUCAACUAUGAUAAAGCCUGAGGGUUGGCUGCGUGCAGCGGCUUCGUCAGGGGUGCGGCUGUGACGGCCCUGCGCGGGGACUGGUGUGUGCUGCUCAGGGGCCUUCUUGGACCCGGAGGAGACAGCUGGCCCUGGGGCCUGCACGGCAGCCCUUAGACCCCCUCUCGGCCUUGUAAUCCACGACUGGAGAAGUGGCGCUUAAAACGAAUUUAUUCAGACUCUGAGAAGCCAGUGGGCCGUGUGGUCUGGGAGCGCUCGGCGCGGGCGGUGGUCGGAGCAGGGGCCACCUUGACGGACGCGGGGACGAUCGCUGUCGCGCAGCUGGCAGGGCCCGGAAACGCAGUGGGGACCAGAAAGCCCUUUCCGAAGACACGGAAGGCGGCGGAGGAGAGGAACGGCAGCGCCCCGGUCCCGGCGCAUUUGAGAAGGAAAAUGCUUGAGGUGCACGUGUGUGAGGUAUAUUUGGACACUGGAUGACGUGUGUGGUGAAAAAGACGUCUCUAUCGCUGCUCUGGGAUCCUAGGAAACCCAGACGGCCCUGAGGUGAGGUACGAUCUGCUGCUUGACGUUCUCGACGUUCUCGCUAGACUCCUUCUCCCUGUUUUCUUUCAGGUGAUUAUACAGAAACCAAAUACAUAUCUUAAAAAAUUUUUUUUUAGAUUUUUAUUUAUUUAUGAUAGUCACACAGAGAGAGAGAGGCAGAGACACAGG
rnacentral:lncRNA from 1 species